rnacentral:lncRNA from 1 species
UUAAUUUUAAUCCUAUCCCAAGAAAAAUAUCAAUUUUUCUAAUUUAUUUUGUCAGUUUAAAUAUCUUUAAAAUUUCCUAAGCCGCUCCUGUUCGAAAUAUUUCAGAAUAUUUUCGCAACAAAGUAAAAUCAUAGGAAAGUUCCUAUUUAUUUGAGUAGCAUUUACCAACUAUGUAGAUAGUUAUUGUGAAAUCAUUCAUUAUUCGAGAAUGAAUCCUCUAAAAGGUUCAGUGUUUUUCCUUUAAGUUUUGAGCGCUAAAAAUCCCAUGUUAUUAUUGGUCUGCAUUUUGAAAGAUCCUUGAGUUGUAGUUGACGAUUGGUCAAUAGUUUUGGCCGAACGAUCGAGAAGAAAUGCAUCGUUUGGACGCGAGAGAGACGUGACGAUGUAAAGCCAGUUCUAAAAGUACAUCACUUCAGUAAACAUCUUUUUGUUAGAACUCAACCAACAGACUCGCAGAAAGUCGCACUUUGCCGGCCAAAAUGGUUUUAUUUUUAUGGUAAAAGAAGUGAAAGACUGGCAGUUUGCCCAGUAAAUGUCAACGAAUAUAAUGACAAUAGUUUCACGGCAUUUUAAUGGAUAUAUUAUUGUGAAAUAGUUCUAUUGUUAUGCAGUUUGGUUUGCCGGUGGUAAUAAAAAAGAAGUGCGUGGUUUCCUGGUUCCUGUCCUUUAUGUAGCUGUUGCUAUUUUUAUGAUAUAUGGAUUUGUUCAUGUUCCAGUAAGAAAUGCCCGGAUGAUAUUAUUUGGUAUCGAUUUUAUCCAGUUUAGUAAUGAUUUGAAUAUCUUCCCUCCCUCCAAUCUCGAAUGGAAAAUUUUGAAGUUCCAAGUGUUGUGACAUGGAUUUUUGUUUUAACAAGGUAUGAUAAUGUUUAUUUUAAAUAAUUCACAAGUGGAUAUUAUUGGUAAAGGUUUUACAUAAUUAAAAAUGUUUGUUUUCAACAUGGAAAAUAUAUUAUGUAAAGUAAAUAUUAGAUGGCAGUGACAUUUGACAGCCAUGUCAAAUUUUUGUUUUGGUACACUGCUAAAAAUAAGGUUAAAAAUUGUAAAAUCAUGUAUUUUGUUAUUAUUAUUCAUUUCUGGUUUGAGAAUGUGUCUAUUCUCAAUAAAAAUAAAAAGGUAUUAAGGUUUAAAUAAACAUUAUAAAAUGUA